AUUGAACGCUGGCGGCAGGCCUAACACAUGCAAGUCGAACGGUAACAGAAAGAAGCUUGCUUCUUUGCUGACGAGUGGCGGACGGGUGAGUAAUGUCUGGGAAACUGCCCGAUGGAGGGGGAUAACUACUGGAAACGGUAGCUAAUACCGCAUAAUGUCGCAAGACCAAAGAGGGGGACCUUCGGGCCUCUUGCCAUCGGAUGUGCCCAGAUGGGAUUAGCUAGUAGGCGGGGUAACGGCCCACCUAGGCGACGAUCUCUAGCUGGUCUGAGAGGAUGACCAGCCACACUGGAACUGAGACACGGUCCAGACUCCUACGGGAGGCUG
rnacentral:rRNA from 1 species